rnacentral:rRNA from 1 species
UUGGAGGGCAGUCUGGUGCAGCAGCCGCGGUAAUUCCAGCUCCAAUAGCGUAUAUUAAAGUUGUUGCAGUUAAAAAGCUCGUAGUUGAAUUUCGGGAUUGACGUGAUGGUCAUGCCUUAAGGGGUAUGAACUGUUACAGUUGAUUUCUCACCUUCUGGAGAAACUUGAUGUCCUUUAUUGGGUGUCUUGCGGAUCCAGGACCUUUACCUUGAAAAAAUUAGAGUGUUUAAAGCAGGCAUUUUUGCUCGAAUACAUUAGCAUGGAAUAAUAGGAUAGGACGGCAUGGUUCUAUUUUGUUGGUUUCUAGGAUCACCGUAAUGAUUAAUAGGGAUAGUUGGGGGCAUUAGUAUUCAAUUGUCAGAGGUGAAAUUCUUGGAUUUAUUGAAGACUAACUACUGCGAAAGCAUUUGCCAAGGAUGUUUUCAUUAAUCAAGAACGAAAGUUAGGGGAUCGAAGACGAUCAGAUACCGUCGUAGUCUUAACCAUAAACUAUGCCGACUAGGAAUCAGACGAUGUUAAUUUUUUAAUGACUCGUUCGGCGCCUUACGGGAAAC